rnacentral:rRNA from 1 species
CACGUAGGGGGCAAGCGUUGUCCGGAUUUAUUGGGCGUAAAGAGCUCGUAGGUGGUUCGGUAAGUCGGAUGUGAAAUCUCCAGGCUCAACCUGGAGGGGUCAUUCGAUACUGCCGUGACUAGAGGUCGGUAGGGGAGUGUGGAAUUCCUGGUGGAGCGGUGAAAUGCGCAGAUAUCAGGAGGAACACCCGUAGCGAAGGCGGCACUCUGGGCCGAUACUGACACUGAGGAGCGAAAGCGUGGGGAGCGAACAGG